rnacentral:rRNA from 1 species
AUGACCAUCCCAUCAUAUUGCUACAAUUCUAGUACAGAAAAAAUGGAUUUGCUCCCUUGGGAUUUUUACUUAGCAUGGCCAUAUCGGUUCUCGGACGUGCAGAACAAGUUCAUAAGCAUUGGUUGCAACUCAAUGGGAUACAUUUACACAGGCAAAUCGAGGUACGUAGCAGGGUGUGUAAUUGUGUGUUGGAGCCCGGACGAACUGGCAAAUGGCUCGUGCGUUGGCAUAGGCUGCUGCCAAAACACCAUUACCAAGGCAUUAACAAGCUACCAUGUCGUAUUCUAUGAUGUCGGCUACCUCAACAGUACGACUAGUUGGCACUUCAACCCAUGCGCCUACUCCAUGGUGGUGGAAGCGGAGAAUUUUGUUUUCAACUCUGAGUAUAUAACCACGACAAGGUUCAAUGAUACCUACAAAGGGCGGAAACCGAUGGUGCUUGACUGGGCAAUUGGAAAUGUAAAGUGUGAGGUGGCGAGCAGAAACAUGUCUUCCUAUGCAUGUCGGACUAGAAGCACAGUGUGCGUGGAUUCACCCAAUGGCUUAGGGUAUCUAUGCAACUGCUCUAGCGGAUACCAAGGAAAUCCUUACCUCUCCAAUGGAUGCACAGAUGUCAAUGAAUGUGAGCAUAGUCCAAGUCCCUGCCCUAAGUCUGCAACUUGCCAAAACAUAGUUGGAGGAUACCAUUGUUUAUGUCCUUUUAGCGGUAAUUUUGCAAAGGAAACAAACUCUUGCACCAACGGAUUGAUAGGAGUUAUUAUUGGACUAAGUUGUGGUAUUGGGAUUUUGUUUAUUGUGUUAGUCUCAACUUUGUUGAUCCGAAGGUGGAACCAAGGCAUUAAAAGUAGAGUUCGAAAGGCGCAUUUCGAAGAAACAAAGGUCUUGUCCUGGAACAACCGAUCUCAUCUGAUGAAAGUGUGA